UACGGAGGGAGCAAGCGUUACUCGGAAUUAUUGGGCGUAAAGGGCGCGUAGGCGAUGGAGAAAGUCUCCUGUGAAAGCCCCCGGCUUAACCGGGGAAGUGCAGAAGAAACUGCUUCAUUUGAGUUCCGGAGAGGAAGGCAGAAUUCCCGGUGUAGCGGUGAAAUGCGUAGAGAUCGGGAGGAAUACCAGUGGCGAAGGCGGCCUUCUGGACGGAUACUGACGCUGAGGCGCGAAAGCCAGGGGAGCAAACGGG
rnacentral:rRNA from 1 species